rnacentral:rRNA from 1 species
UGCCAGACUCCUACGGGAGGCAGCAGUGGGGAAUAUUGCACAAUGGGGGAAACCCUGAUGCAGCGACGCCGCGUGAGUGAAGAAGUAAUUCGUUACGUAAAGCUCUAUCAGCAGGGAAGAGAAUGACGGUACCUGAGUAAGAAGCCCCGGCUAACUACGUGCCAGCAGCCGCGGUAAUACGUAGGGGGCAAGCGUUAUCCGGAUUUACUGGGUGUAAAGGGAGCGUAGACGGCAGAGAAAGUCUGAAGUGAAAGCCCGCGGCUCAACCGCGGAACUGCUUUGGAAACUUUUCGGCUAGAGUACCGGAGAGGUAAGCGGAAUUCCUAGUGUAGCGGUGAAAUGCGUAGAUAUUAGGAGGAACACCAGUGGCGAAGGCGGCUUGCUGGACGGUAACUGACGUUGAGGCUCGAAAGCGUGGGGAGCAAACAGGAUUAGAUACCCUCGUAC